rnacentral:rRNA from 1 species
AGAAUCAACGCUGGCGGCGUGCCUAACACAUGCAAGUCGCACGAGAAAGGGUAGCAAUACCUGAGUAAAGUGGCGCACGGGUGAGUAACACGUGAAUGAUCUACCUCCGAGUGGGGAAUAACUGAGAGAAAUCUUAGCUAAUACCGCAUAACACUUACGAGUCAAAGCAGCAAUGCGCUUGGAGAGGAGUUCGCGGCCGAUUAGUUAGUUGGCGGGGUAAUGGCCCACCAAGACGAUGAUCGGUAUCCGGCCUGAGAGGGCGCACGGACACACUGGAACUGAAACACGGUCCAGACUCCUACGGAGGCAGCAGUGGGGAAUUUUGCGCAAUGGGGGAAACCCUGACGCAGCAACGCCGCGUGGAGGAUGAAAUAUCUUGGUAUGUAAACUCCUUUCGAUGGGGAAGAUUAUGACGGUACCCAUAGAAGAAGCCCCGGCUAACUUCGUGCCAGCAGCCGC